AUGAAUAACAUACCAUGGCUUAGUUAUAAUGAUCUUUCAUCUAAUCUCAAGACAUGUUUGUUGUAUUUAAGUGUCUUCCCCGAGGAUUAUGUGAUUGAUAGGGACACACUAGUGAGGCGAUGGAUAGCAGAAGGCUUUAUCUCUGAAGAGCAUGGGCAAUGUCGGCAAGAGGUCGCUGAGAACUACUUCUACAAGCUUAUUAAUAAAAGCUUGGUUCAACCAGUGUACAUUGAUUAUGAUGGCAAAGCUAGUACCCGCCGAGUCCAUGACAUGAUGCUUGAUAUUAUCAUUUCAAAAUCGUCUCAAGAUAAUUUCAUUAUUGUUGUCGAUGGAGAAGGAGGACAAACGUGCUUGCCAAACCAUCAUGGUUUUAUUCGACUACUAUCCAUCCAAUACAUUGACCGGAAGCUUGCAAAUGUGUUGGCAUGUUUAGAUUUAAGCCAUGUUCGAUCACUAACUGCAACGUCAUCAAAUUGCAUCAAACACUUGCCUUGCCUUGUUAAAUUUGAAGCUUUGCGUGUACUAGAUUUUAAGGAUUGUGAGGGUUUUGACGAUUAUGAUAUGCGCAAUAUGGACAAAUUGUUCAACCUAAAAUACCUCAGCUAUAGGUGCACGGUCAUAUCAAAGCUACCAUCAGGGAUUGUAAUGUUAGGUGGGCUAGAGACCCUAGAUCUUAGGGAUACAUGUGUGCAAGAGUUGCCAUGUGGAAUA
rnacentral:rRNA from 1 species